AUAUGUUGUUAAAGGUUUAUCGCCUUGGGAUAGGCUUGCGUCUGAUUAGCUAGUUGGUGUGGUAACGGCACACCAAGGCUACGGAUCAGUAACUGGUCUGAGAGGAUGAUCAGUCACACUGGAACUGAGACACGGUCCAGACUCCUACGGGAGGCAGCAGUGAGGAAUAUUGGGCAAUGCUCGAAAGAGUGACCCAGCAACGCCGCGUGGAGGAUGAAGGUAUUCUAUAUCGUAAACUCCUGUGAGAGCAGACGAAAGACAGAUUAAUUAAUCUGGAUGACUGUAUGCUCAGAGGAAGCCCCGGCUAACUACGUG
rnacentral:rRNA from 1 species